GCUCCCGUAGCCCAACCGGCAGAGGCACGGCACUCAAAAUGCCGCAAGUCAGGGUUCGAAUCCCUGCGGGAGCA
rnacentral:tRNA from 1 species